CGGUCCGACUUGUUCCUGCAAAUCAGACGAUUAAGUAUUUGGCUAUCUCAGAGAUGGCUCAGGAAGAACCCACUGUAGCUGCUUUGAAAGAUAAUCUGUCAGCAGAGAGCCUCUUUAGCAAAAUGUUCUUGUGGGGGUGUGGUGGUUUUAAUAUAAUGUGCUUAGAGCCUGAAAUUCUGUUUCUCGAAAGGCUGGGAAUUAGUCAGGAAAGGAAGGAGAGGAGGAUGCUUCCAGGGAUGAAGCUCAUCCUGCCCCUGUCUCUUGCAGUACAGGACAUGCUCAGCCUGUAGGUUCAGACCUUAUAGUACUUGGAAACCCUCCCUGCAGAUCAUUUGGAAGACGGGAAGGGCUUGAAUGUGGCAUUUGCACUGUCUCAAAGAAGAGUCUGUCAGUUCACUGGUGUGAUUUUAUAUUUGUCUGUGGAACAGAUUGUUAGCCCUGCCUGCCAUUGGUGGGGGAAGGAUGCAGUGUGUUGUCCAUCUUAAUCCUUUAUAACCUCAAAACUAGUUUGCGGCCAUUCAAGCCUUUCCUGGUGUGCAGAAGUGAGUAUACAUCUGAGGAGAGAAAAUAAAAUGGAAUUGUUCUUCUUACUUAAGGCUUGCAGCAAAAAGGACGGCUCGGUGUCCCCCAGGCCCCUGGCUCUGGACCCAGUGCUCCCGGCGGGAUGGAGAGCCUGGGGCUGCCAGCAGUGACCCUCAGGGACGGCACCACGGCCUACCUGCAGCAGGCUGCCAGAGGUGAAAAGCUGAUUGAACAAGUCAUUGAACUUGAAGAUGGGACCACAGCUUAUAUCCAUCAGGUGACAGUUCAGAAAGAGUCUGUGGCUUUGGAAGACGGUCAGCCAGUGGUGCUGGAAGAUGGCAGCAUGGCCUACAUACACAGCACAGCUAAAGACGGUUACGAUCCUGGCACCUUCCAGGCCAUCCAGGUGGAGGACUGCACUGCCUACGUCCACCGUCCUGUCAUCGUAGCACCUGGCAGCACCAUCCUGGAAGUGCAGACAGGAACUGGGCUCGAGGAGUUAGCUGGGGAGGAGGAAGAUGAUGCCUUUGGUGUGGAGACCACGAAUGCAUUACAGCAGUACAGCAGUAAGGGGUCUGACAAGGAAGAGGAGGGAGUGACAGACACCUGCCGUAUGAACCCUACGGACUCCAGCAACGUCCCUUCUCAGGAUUUGCAGGAGGAGGAGGUGCACAGCCAUGGGAAGGGGCAGCAGGUCAGCAGCAGAGCUUUCCCCUGUGGGUACAAAGGCUGUGGCCGCCUCUACACCACUGCCCACCACCGCAAGGUACAUGAACGUGCUCACACAGGUGACCGGCCAUAUACAUGUGACUUCCCAGGUUGUGGGAAAGCAUUUGCUACAGGGUAUGGGCUGAAGAGCCACAUGAGAACACACACUGGUGAGAAACCAUACAAGUGUCCAGAAGAUAUGUGUAGCAAAGCCUUCAGAACCUCUGGGGAUCUACAGAAACACAUCCGCACACACACAGGUGAGCGUCCCUUCAAGUGCCCCUUCGUGGGCUGUGGCCGCUCCUUUACCACCUCCAACAUCCGCAAGGUUCACGUCCGGACGCACACGGGCGAGCGGCCGUACGCGUGUCCAGAGCCCGGCUGCGGGAGGGGCUUCACCAGUGCCACCAACUACAAGAACCACAUGAGAAUCCACACAGGAGAGAAGCCAUACCUGUGCACUGUGCCAGGCUGUGGGAAGCGCUUCACAGAGUACUCCAGCCUCUACAAGCACCACGUGGUGCACACGCACUGCAAGCCCUACACCUGCAGCAGCUGUGGGAAGACAUACCGCCAGACCUCCACGCUGGCCAUGCACAAGCGCAGCAGCCACGGCGAGCUGGAGACCAUGGAGGACAGUGAGCGGGCCCUCUUUGAGCAGCUGAGGCUGGAAGUUGCUGCUGCUGACAGAGGCUGCCCGCUGAAGAGCCAGCAUAUUGCUUUCCUGUCGGAGAUGGAGGAAGAUGAAGAAGAUGAUGCUGAGCCUACACAGGUCUCACUUAUCUCUCAGGAUGGGACAGAGCAGGUCAGUCUGUCGCAGGAAGAGCUGCGGGCCCUGGGCAGUGCCAUCAGUGUGGGGACACAGAGUGGGGCCCUUGCCGUGCCCAAGGGAGAGGUGGCGGGUGACACUCGCACCGUGACUGUGGCCAACACCGAUGGCACCGAGACGCAGGGGGUGACCGUAGUCGCUUCUGGGGCAGUCUUGUCAGAGGAAUCCGCCGUUGCCCCUCUCCAUCAUCAGCAGGUGGCAUUGCUGGCCACUGCCCACGGCACCCACAUCACUGUGCAGCUGGAAGAGCAGCAGAGCCUGGAGGAAGGCGUCAGCAUGGCUGCAGCAGUAAUCCACUGUGGACCGGUGACGUCUGACACAGCCGUAUCUGAGAAAGGGAGCUGAGCUGUAGGGAUUAAAGAAAUUGAGGAGAUUUGUGGAAUUGACCGAAUGUGUCCUGCCAAAGCAGCGACUGUCCCAGAGGAGGGCAGGGAGCAGGAUUUUGGCUCUUCCAGGGACCCCUGCAAGCCCAGAUUUACGGAACUGUCUCAGUGAACACAUCUUACAGGCCCCUGAGCUGGGGAGAGAGACUUGGGCAGGUGCCCUCAGCCCUUCCACUGCCCCAGGCACUGGGCAGAAAGAGCCAGCACGGGAAGCACCAUAGAACCAUUUUGGCUGGAAAAGACCUUUGAGAUCGUUGAGUCCAGCUGUAAACCUGAGCCCAGUGCAGGAUCCCGGCAGGCAGGUGGAUUAUUUUCUGGACGUCCCCGAGGAGUUCGCAGAGGAAGAGGUUUCUGCGGGCACGGAACGGGCACAGCCCGGGAGGGUGCAGCACGCUGGGUCUCCCCACACCUGCCCUGAUGCGAUUGAUCGCAAAACAAGGAGAGCUGGAGCCGUUCCAAAGCGCAGCCCGUGCUCCCGCUGCUAGGGGAAGCUCUGCGUCUCAGUCCCGGGAGGGGAAGCUGCUGCUUGAGCCAGGGAGGAGAUUUCUCUCCCCAGAGCGC